rnacentral:lncRNA from 1 species
UUUGCUAGCAAAAUUGUCAAGGCCAGCUAAUUGAAAUGUUACGCACUUGUUGAGUGAUUUGUUACAGUGAUAGAGUGAUAGUUCGUUUUAAGGUUAUUUACCCACGGAGAAGAUCGUCUUUCAGGCGGAAGCACAUACUGGAUAAUUUUUGAAAUAUUUGGAAAAUAUGUUUUUUUGCCAGAGAAAAAAAACUUAAGUCUAUAUUAGAGUUGUUACACACACAUAUGCAGUUGAUUUCGUAAAUUUUCUAAAACAAGCAAUACAUUCAUGACAAACUGUUUUUCUCAUUAUGUAGGAGCUGCCAAAUGUUGAGCAUGGGCCUGAUUGACCAUGAUUGAGUCGUUUUGAAUCUCAGGUCGAAGUUUGCCUUUCAGCAGGAAGCAUAAAGGUUUUACACACACAUGCAGAGAAGAAUCUUAGACUACAUUACAGAUUUUAAACUGACAUGCAGGUGACUUUAUGUUAUCGGAAAGAAGCCAAAGAAUAACCUGAGGCUAUACUACAGGUUUUACACACACAUCAGGAGCUGUCAAAUUGUGAGCAUAACUUAAUGACGAAAUUUUUAUAGUAACGCUCGGGUUAUUCUGGCUACGGAUAUAGUCAGCUUAGGACUCGUUAUUCCUACGUUUCCGCUGAUGAUCGAUCACAAUCUUACAUCUGAAGUCUAACACCACAGAAAACGUUGCUCGUGCUAGAGACAUUGGUUCGGCGACGUUAAUCAACCCAACCAAAAUCACAAGAGCUCAACAAAUUCAACAUCACAGGAAAAGAAGUCAUCACAAUUUUAAGAAAGUGGCUAUUGGUGUCUGUGACGAAAAGACAACAGGAAAUCUAGUUGGGCCAGCCAGAUAUUCAGGGUCAGGGGAAGGAGUCAGGGGGAAAACGAAGCUUAUACGGUUCAACCUCAUCUGCCGCAAAUAUAACUUUUGAUUGGGAUUAACGCCUGUA